rnacentral:tRNA from 1 species
AUCCAGGGAUGGGAAUCGAACCCUCAGUGUUCCGCUUACUGGGCAGAUGCCAUGUCCACUAGGCUACGAUUCCCAUCCCUGGA